UUAUCUUACUAGCUAAAUGAUUAACACAUCAAAACAGCUAGUUUCCCAGAGCUAAAAGAAAGGGUUUGGAUUUGUGUUGGUAGCUGUUUGCAAUUCAAAUUAGUUUGUCAAGUGGUUUCAGAUUCUUCAAUCAGGGUCCUGAAGUUAACCUGGGGACACUGAGUGAAGGCUGUAAUUGCAAAGAUGUUUUCACAUGGGUGAAUUGGAAGCCCUAUGGAUGAAAAGCAAACGACGGAAUAGGGCCCUGGAUUGCUUGGCUGAAUGGAAGGGAAAAUGAAACAGUGAGUCGGUUGUCAUUUUCUCUCAAGCGAGGCAAAGUCACUGAAGGGAUCAGAGAAAGGUUUAAAUGUGGAACGAUCAAUCUUAGAUGUGAUCUGGACUUCAGUUGAGUGGAAUUUCUUGAAUCCUUGAUGUGAAUGAGGAAUGCGGAGGAGCCCAUGCAAAAGCAGAUUUACUGGAAAGGAGAACUGGAAAUUUCAAGGGGUUUGUGUUUGUCAUUGUCAACCCUUUUAGCAAAUAACAUUGAUCAUUAGGGUGGGUGUUAUUGUUGUUGUUGUUUAAGAACGUACGAGAAUUUGUAAAAUGCAGAGAAGCAAAAGUUGGAAAACUAAAAUUGCUUGCCACCAGAGAUCAACUACAGCACUUAGGCCUAUUUCCUUCUUACCUUCUUUCUUUCUUCCUUCCCUCCCUCCUUCCUCCCCUCUUUCCUUCCUUCUUUCCCAUCCAUUUAUCCAUCAUCUACCUAGCUCUUUUUAUAUAGCUAUUUCUUUAUUAUUAUUAUAUCGUUAUAUAUCUUUGUCAUUUGUUAUAUAAAGUUUGCAUUGUUGCUGCUUUUAAAAUGUUUUGACCUGUAAUCUUUAACUUGCAACCUUUAAGCCAGGGGGUCUUCUGGCUUUGUUAGGCAGGGUGGCUCAUGGGAAUUCAUGGCCUCUUAUUCUGGUAAAAACUUCCUUGCAAUCAAGAAUGUGGUGUUUUUUCUUGGUUUAAAACAAACAGAAACAAAAUCACACAGAACUAGAAGAGUUUGCACUAAACAUAUAUUUUUAAAUUUCUGCCUGCAAAAUUAUGUUCCACUGCCUCCUCUUUGCUCAGUUUCCCCCUUAUAUCCCUCCAGAUGUAGCCUCUGGAGUUCCUUGAGUCUCUGAGAGAUUGUUUCAUAGGGCAGGAUCAGAAAUGACUUGUCAAGAUCCCUGCAGAAGCAUCUAGAAAGAUGGGUAAUUUAUAAUUAAAACAAUAAGUAAUGGCGGUUAACAUCUUGCAAGGUGUUAUAUAUUUAAUUUUUUUUUUUAACAGUCUCUUUUUACAUUCAUGAACUCAGCCAGGAGUGGUAGAAAGAUAGUUUGGAUUGUGAGUCAAGGUGCCUUGAGUUCUAGUCCUAGUUUUUUCUCAACUAUUACCUUCUAAAAGCACUUAAAUUCUCUGUGCCUCCAUUUUCCUAUAUAUAGAAGGAAGUGGGAGGGUUUGAUGGUUAGCGGGCCAGAUGCUUGCUGAGAUCAUUUCCAGGUCAGCAACCGCACUGUAUUAUGAAGGUUUUGGUGGCCCCAUAUUGGAUGGGCAUUAUUUCCAUUAACUACCAGUGAACAGUGCAUUUGCCAUGGGUACACGCUUAGAUGGAACCUGAUAAUAUACUAAUUUGGUGAGGUUGGGGGUUGGGAGGCAGGGGAAUCCAAGGUCUGAUUUCCCCCAAGCAAAGUCUGCUAAUGUUGUUCCUCUAUGCUGCUUCUAGUUUUUUUGGAUAAGCUAAGUGAAUAGGGGUGUGUGCAUAUAGAUAUGCAGGAUAAUUUAUCACACACAUACUUCAUUGGGGAACUGGCACCAGUUGGUACUUCCUGAGCAGCUCCAGUCAGUGCUUUCAGAGAAGAAAAAAAACUAACUUGUGCAGAUGCCUUUACAUGUAUUAUUCCACCUAAUUCUCACAGCAUCCCUUCAGGGUAGAUCCCCUGUUUUGUAGAUGUACACACUAGGGUUCAGAGUGAUUGAGUAACUUGUUCAAAAUGUGAACACGGAUCCAUAGGACUCUAGGGCCAAAGUACAUUUCAGAGGACUCCACUUUGACUCACUCUACUGAGGCAGAGGGAAAAGAAGAAAAUAAGGGGAAGAGGAGCAGGUGAAGAAGUGGACUAAAGGAGUUUCCUCUGCAUGGUGCUGUCGCAGAACUACUCUUACAGAUAGUGCAGCGCAGGUGUGGGUCAACAAGCUCCUUUCCUAUGCUCCUUUGCCACGUUCUAUUGCCUUUCUUUUGGGAUUAUCAGGUUUCCCAGGGCUCCCAGGCUUUCCUAUCCCUCCCACUAGCACCCCAUCCUGAUGAGCCAUUACCAAUAUUUCAUGUUCUAGAAUCAUCUCGUCUUCUGAUUCCUGCAAUAGAAGCUUCCUUUUCUCUAUAUGGUGGAUUCAGCUAAGUGGAAAGCAAUCUGACUGAGUGGAUCUAUAUGAGAAUGUGAAUGCCUAAAAGGUUCUCAUUAUUAAGAAGGAUGUUGAUAUGUGAAAAUCUGACAAAUGCCAUUGCAAACAGAAACUGGGUGAAGAAAACAAAAAUUCAGGCUGUUGGGAGAAGAGCUGAAGACUAUAGGAUGUCAACUGUGGAUACAACUCACAAGCUACCAUAUUGAUGUGACAUGAUGAAGUGGGAAGGAAAGCCAUCUGGAGUUUCACUGGUGAAUUGAUACAUCUUGCACUUAACAUUGUGUAUCCCCUGGACUUUGAUCAAAUGGACAUGGGCUUUCUGAUCUACUGCAGAGUGCCUGGAAAUUCAGGCUCCUAGGAGGAAGGAACUUGCAUUAUCUCAGGUGAGACUUUGGACUUGGACUUUUGGAUUAAUGCUGGAGUGAUAUAAGACUUUGGGGGACUGUUGGG